rnacentral:rRNA from 1 species
GCUAUCACUCCUACGGGAGGCAGCAGUGGGGAAUAUUGCACAAUGGGGGAAACCCUGAUGCAGCCAUGCCGCGUGUGUGAAGAAGGCCUUCGGGUUGUAAAGCACUUUCAGUAGGGAGGAAGGUAGUGUAGUUAACACCUGCAUUAUUUGACGUUACCUACAGAAGAAGCACCGGCUAACUCCGUGCCAGCAGCCGCGGUAAUACGGAGGGUGCGAGCGUUAAUCGGAAUUACUGGGCGUAAAGCGCAUGCAGGCGGCCUGUUAAGUCAGAUGUGAAAGCCCGGGGCUUAACCUCGGAAUUGCAUUUGAAACUGGCAGGCUAGAGUCUUGUAGAGGGGGUAGAAUUUCAGGUGUAGCGGUGAAAUGCGUAGAGAUCUGAAGGAAUACCAGUGGCGAAGGCGGCCCCCUGGACAAAGACUGACGCUCAGAUGCGAAAGCGUGGGGAGCAAACAGGAUUAGAUACCCUGGUAG